rnacentral:rRNA from 1 species
UACGAAGGGGGCUAGCGUUGCUCGGAAUCACUGGGCGUAAAGAGUGCGUAGGCGGGUCUUUAAGUCAGGGGUGAAAUCCUGGAGCUCAACUCCAGAACUGCCUUUGAUACUGAGGAUCUUGAGUACGGGAGAGGGUAGUGGAAUUCCCGGUGUAGUGGUGAAAUGCGUAGAUAUCGGGAGGAACACCAGUGGCGAAGGCGACUACCUGGCCUGUUCUUGACGCUGAGGCGCGAAAGCUAGGGGAGCAAACGGG